rnacentral:lncRNA from 1 species
CUCCUUCUUGGAAAGCAUUUGCCCUCAAAUGUCCAGGAUCAUCACCGGGUUCAAGUACCACUUCCUUCCUUUUCUUGUUGGCUUGCUUGGCAUAGCUUUCAUUCUUCUUUGCAAUUUGCAUCGUCACUUGGUCAUACAAUCUUUUCACAUACUCAACUUUGGCCUGUGCAUCCUUAUGCUGAGUCUCUUGGGGCUUGUUGUUGUAAGUUGGCUUGUUAGGCAAUGAAGCUUCUGG